UUCUUCUCGCGGCGCCCAUAACCACGAUAGCCUUUGUCGCCAUUGCUCGCAGAUGUUCCAAAUGUUUCUAGCGCCCCAUUGCCAGUUGAUGCAAUACCUACGGACAAUAUUCCAAGCAAUUGUUAUUUUAGAUAUCGAGCUUUUGGACUACGGUAUGGCAGUUGGAUUAUUACUGAAAAGGGAUGCCGGUGUUUCUAGUUAAUCGACCGAUUUUCCGUUAUAACAAAAGUCGUCGUGAACAGAUCGAGCUACCUUUUUUCACAUUUUUCUUCCUCCUUUUUUAACGUUCGAUAUGGUAGUGAGAAAGGUGUUUGGUCACAUGGAGCGUUCGACGGCAGACUAAUAGAGGGAAUAUGCUGCUAUUAAGAGUAUGGGGGGAUGCGCGCUCGUCAAAGGGGUGAGCGAGGAAUCGAUCAACGAGGAGAAAUGAAUUUUAUCAAGUGUGAUGCUGAAAGGUUUCUCAAUCCUUUAACGAAUCUAUCGAUGAACGACGCGUGCAGGUCUUAAAGAGAUGGUUUUGCUGAAAAAAGGAUAAGAUGGAUGAGAGAAAAGGACAGAUGAGAUAAGAAGUCACUGAUACAAUUGGUAGCUGAACGACCCUUUAACCUGUUGCACGUGCCGUAUUUACCAGUCUUCGCGAACGUACCUGUUGUGUAACGCGAGAAAAUACAGAAACAGGAAAACACUACUCGAGCUUAUCACGUGGAAGAACGUUUCUGUUAUCGCGAGCCUGUACAACGAGCCUAUAGAAUCGUAACAACUGUUACCAUCGAUGUUUCA